GUACGUUCUCAGGGCGGGGUGGAAGUCCCCACCGGCGGUAAUGGCGAAAGCCUGAGCCCGCGAGCGCCGGACCUUUCGGGGUUCGGGUCAGCAGAUUCGGUGCGAUUCCGAAGCCGACGGUCAUAGUCCGGAUGAGAGAGAACGGGA
rnacentral:ncRNA from 1 species